GAUGAGCUCGGUAACGUGGGCUUGUCACCAACUAGAGCAUUAAGGUAUUUGAAUAAUUUGGUAUUGAAUUCAAGGUUUACAUUAUGAGCUAGCUUUGAUUUGCCCGUUUCCAAGUUGGGCAGUGGAUUCUAUGUUUCAGUCUAACGCUUGAAUCAUAUUCUCCCUAAACUUGAGGGUAAUGCGUGAGGCUGGUUUCACAGAUCAGCGAUUACCUCUCACUCUCAACGGUGGAAGGAUUACAACUCAUUUGCUCAUAUUGUCAAUUAGCCUUGGAAUCCACCAAAUUCAACAAAUAUUUUU
rnacentral:SRP_RNA from 1 species